AAUACAAUGAGUUCUGGUGAUAAAUCUUCCUCCCGACCUGUGAGGGCGCUAAAGAACGGGAGGAGAAGUAUCUGGAAGGGCUGGCCUGACAGUUCGUUUCCGGGACCGGAAAGUGGGUCAGCCUGGAAGGAAGCGAGACUCUGUUGUAAGACCGUAUUGAUUUGACAGGUAAACAAGGGGCAGCUGCAAGUAAUAAGGCAGCUGCAACCGUUUACCUAGAUAUCAUGCUGGAUUACAUAUAGGGGCCAGGGUAACGCUGUUCUUUUCCUUCGUUUGGGUUAAGCCAAGGACCGAGAAGGACGGUAUUGUGAAGUGCUGUAUUACUCUGUAAAGAGUUGAGUGUGUGUGUGUUUUUGUUUGUUUAUUGCUGUACAAUAACUGUCUGUGUUUUGAAACCACCAGACAGCUAAAGCACAUCCGGAGCUGUCGCCGUGGGCCAGCACAAACCGGAUCACCACCUCACAACUGUCACCGAAUAAAAAGUGUAUUCAUUCACCACCAGCACGACUGCACGCACCCGGGACGGGUGAACGUGUUUUUGUUUUGUUAUUCAGGACUGUAACCUGUCGUUUCAUCCCCGCGCUCUACACAUCGUUGUGUAUUGCCGGGGCUUAUUAUUUACGGUCGCUAGACCAGGAUUUAAAAUAAAUAAAAACAUUUGUCACUGGAUUACCGUUGUCUGCCUGUCACUCCUGCACCGCAUCACCGCUACACCUGUUCCCCUUACUAACCACUUUGCCACACGUGGUGUCAGAAGUGGGAUCAUGGACCGCAAUGCACUGGCGGAGCUGCUGCAGGCGCUGGAGAGCAGGCGCGACGCAGAGGAGAGAAGGAGGGAGGAGCGCUACACGGCGCUCAUUGAACGGGUAGGGCUGGCCGUUGCUGCAGCGACGACCCCUACCACAACACCGCUGAUGUCGCCCCCGAAGGCACGGGCAAUGAAGAUGUCGGCGGAGGAUGACCCGGAGGCGUAUUUGGUGGCGUUCGAGCGGCUGGCUACCGCGGCGGCUUGGCCGCGGGAGUUCUGGGCCAGCCAGUUGGGACCCUGCCUAAUUGGGGAGGCUCAGGCAGCCUACCAAGCCAUGAGCGACCAUCACGCCACCGAUUAUGACCUGGUCAAGCAGGCUAUCCUCCGCCGGCUGAACAUCACCACGGAGACCCACCGGGCGCGAUUUAGGGAGUACCGGAGAGCCCCGGAGACACGCCCCAGGGUGGUUGCAGAGCGGUUGUGCGACCACAUGGUGCAUUGGCUGACCCCCGGGAAGAAGACCGCCCAGCAGAUGGGGGAAGCCAUUGUGGUAGAGCAAUUCUGCCAUGUGGUCGGCGCCGAGACCCAGGCGUGGAUACGGCGCCACAACCCCGACACCCUGGAGGAGGCGGUCAAACUGGCCGAAGACUUCGAGGACUCCCUGACCUCUGCCCGGAUCGGGAUCCUGUCGGCCCCUGCCCUUCGGAGCAGCCGACCUCUCCCUCCCUCUCCUCCAACACCACCACCACCACCCCCCACGUUCCAGGGACCCAGACCUCCCAGAGCACCGACCCCAUUGGGCCCCCUUGCCUCCCCCCCAUGGAGACCAAGGUUGGCCCCCAGCUGGGGUAGAGGUGCUGCCCCUGCCCCGUUGCCAUACCAGCAGCGGGACAGAUUUCUGACCUAUGCCCCCUCUGUCCCUCCUAUCUGUUUUAGGUGCCACCAGCCGGGACAUCUGGCCAGGUCAUGCCCCGCUGCCAUGGAGUGUGACGUGGCCGCGUGCAAUUGGGCACCUGAAACUGGUAAGCGUGGGGAAUAUGGUCGGGAGGGGCCUUGUUUGAUUAAUGUUGUGUUAGGGAAUGUGAAAACCCACGCAUUAGUGGACACAGGGUGUGAGCAAACCUUGAUUAGGACAGCUCUCCUGGGCGGUGUGUCGUGGCGGCCACGAGGUCAGGUGGCCAUCUCCUGUAUCCAUGGAGACACGGCGGCAUACCCCACAUUAAAAGUAUAUUUAUCGGUAGGACCGAUAAAACGUCACCUUGUAGUCGGGGUGGCGGAAAGGUUGCCACACCCAGUUAUUCUGGGUCGAGACUGGCCAAAAUUCAAAGAAUUGAUGCAAACAAUGGCAGUCUCAGCCACACACGUAAACGUGGCAGAAAAAAAAAAAAAGAGGAACGAAUUGGUGAUGUGUUUCCUUUUCACACUGAAAUGUUUUCCCCUCUUUUCCGUCCUAGAAAAACAAAUAAGGAGAGACGGACCGCGAAAUGGGAGGGAGCAUUUGUGAGACAAGGCUGGGGUCUGGUGGGAGAGUGCUGCAAUGGUAACAAACGCCAGUCGAAGGGAGUGGGAACGCAGUGUGACCGAGAGAGCGAGGUUACUGGACCGACUAGAGCAGAGGUUAUUCCAGCCCCUCUCAAUGUACCGGACCCGUGGUACUCAAGCGCGGACCUAGUGUGGGGCCAACAAAACGACCCGUCACUGGUGCACGCUUGGGGGCAGGUCCGGUCCAUUGAAGGUAAGGAUGUUGACGGCGCUGGGGCGCUAGUAUAUCCACAUUUCAGUAUCAAGGGGCAAUUACUAUAUAGGGUAAACCUAGCCGCGGGCACAGGACAGCCUGUAACACAAUUGUUGGUUCCCCCGUCUUGUCGGACCGAGGUCAUGAGGCUGGCGCAUGAUAUCCCUUUUGCGGGGCACCUCGGAGCCGAGAAGACGAGGGAACGGAUAUUGGCUCGAUUCUAUUGGGUAGGUCUUCAUACUGAUGUGUCGAGAUAUGUAGCCACCUGCCCAGACUGCCAGCGAGUAGCGCCGGGUCGAGUGCGCCCCGCCCCUUUGGUCCCACUGCCGAUUAUUUCCACUCCUUUCGAGCGCAUUGCAAUGGACAUAGUCGGCCCUUUGCUACCUUCUGACUCCGGGUAUACGCACAUUUUAGUAGUGGUGGAUUAUGCAACGCGAUACCCGGAGGCAGUUCCAUUGAGGUCCACUAGUGCCGCUGCAAUAGCCACCGAGUUAGCACAGAUUAUGGCCAGAGUAGGGAUCCCCAAGGAGAUUUUGACCGAUCACGGAACUAACUUUUUGUCCAAUACGUUACAGCAGGUGUACAAAAUAUUAAAAAUACGUCCCAUCAGGACGUCCGUUUAUCAUCCACAAUCGGACGGUCUGGUGGAACGUUUUAAUCAGACCUUAAAGUCGAUGCUGAGGCGAUUUGUGACACAAGAGCAGAAACAUUGGGCAUCACUUCUCCCCUACCUCCUUUUUGCAGUGAGAGAAGUGCCGCAGAGUUCAACGGGGUUCUCCCCCUUUGAGCUCCUGUACGGCCGGCAGCCUCGCGGCAUUCUCGACCUGCUGAGAGAGGGGUGGGAGGAGCACAAAGGCUCGUCUAAAAAUGUAGUGAAGUAUGUGCUCCUACUCCGAGAUCGCCUGGAUUUGGUCGGUCGUUUGGCCCAAGACAACCUCAGAUCGGCUCAGCACCGACAAGAGCAGCAUUAUAACAAAAAUGCACGGAUUCGAACCUUUCGACCAGGGGACAAGGUAAUGCUGCUACUUCCCUCAUCAGAGUCAAAACUGUGUGCUAAAUGGCAGGGGCCGUAUGAGGUGAUUCGGGCUAUAGGGAAAGUAAAUUAUGAAAUUAGACAGCCCGAUCGCCGGAAUGAACGUGAAAUUUACCACAUUAAUUUGUUGAAGCCCUGGCAGGCAAGAGAGGUCUUAUUUAUAGCCCCAGGCAAUAUGGAGGAUGAUUUAGGUCCCUGUCCAGAGACCCCGAGCACAAGAGCGAUUUCAAUGGGGGAACAAUUAGUUCCGGAUCAGCAAAGGAGCCGGGAGUCUAGCUGUGGGAGUCGACAGGUAACCAGGUAACCAGCAUUUGAAGCAAGAUAGGUAUUUGAUCCUGCUCCUAGUAAUUUUUCCAUUAACUAUAUAGUAUUACCUGGUGUUUCUAAUUGGGGAGGAGUGUGUGAUUUUAUCCCAGGCAGUGUGCUUAUUUUGAGUACUUAAUUUGUAAUUUGUAAAUUUGAAUCAGGGUGGGUUAACUUGAUUAGAGCAGUUUGCAUUUGAAUUGGUCUCCACACAGCUCCUGCAGUUGUGUGAUCCCAUCAAAGUGUGUGAAACUAUUGUCUCCAGAGCAGUUAGCAGCUAGUUCCCUUGCUAAGUGAAGGGAGUUAUUUAAGAGUGGGCAUCUGGUAAUUAGUUCAGUCUUCAGGGAACCAGGGAGAGAGGCAGAUAGAUAAGUUCCUGCUUUUUGUAAUUGUAACUACUACAUUUGGUGACAUUGUAAGGUGGUGUUUGAAUUGGCUGAGUUUGUGUGUGAUUAGUACCAGGUGAGUGGCUAAAUUGAUUAGCAGUUGAUUUUGCUAUUUGAUUGGUUUCCACACAGUUUAGUUGGUUCUUUUGCCAAGCAGGGGUAACAACAUUUAUUCAAGCAGCUUAUUUUAGCGCCAGCACGAAGCGCCAGCCAACAGAAGAGCCUCAACAAAAGAGCCGGGAGUCUAGCUGUGGGAGUCCAGCGAGGGGAGGCCUGCGCUGAGACGCUGUUCGACUAGAUCCGAACCUACCAGCGCUCUGGAAGAAGCCAUCUACUAGUCAGCUAAAAACCUUGGAGUCACCCUGGACCCCUGCCUCUCUUAUUCCCAGCACAUCUCCACUCUGGCACGCACUUGCAGAUUCUUCCUGAGCAACAUCCGAAGAAUCCGACCCUUCCUCACCAACUAUGCUACCCAGCUCCUGGUCCAGGCCCUGGUACUCUCCCGCCUAGACUACUGCAACUCCCUCCUGGCUGGCCUCCCUGCGUCCGCCACCCGUCCGCUCCAGCUCAUCCAGAACUCUGCUGCUCGCCUGGUGUUCUCUCUACCUCGCUUCGCCCACGCUACUCCACUACUCCGCUCGCUCCACUGGCUCCCGAUCACCGCUCGCAUCCAGUUCAAGACUCUUGUACUAGCCUACAGAUGCCUUGAUCAGACUGCACCCAGCUACCUCCAGACCCUCAUCUCUCCCUACACCCCCACUCGACCUCUCCGCUCCGCCUGCACUAGAAGACUGGCUCUACCUCCGCUACGCUCCCCUGCCUCCCGAGCCCGCUCCUUCUCCACCCUUGCUCCGCAGUGGUGGAACGACCUUCCUACAGAUGUCAGGACUGCCCAGUCCCUGACCACAUUCCGGCGCCUCCUUAAGACUCACCUCUUCAAACAGCACCUGUAGAACUCCUCUGUUGUAUCCUGGGACACUAUCACCCUUCAUUUAAAUAUGCUUUAUUUUGCUCUUAUCUGCCCCCUAUUUUACUGCAUUUAAUCCUGUACCUCAGAAUAUUGUAAUCUCCCAAGUGUUUAAUCUGUAGUAUUUUGUACUUAAUCAUAUCCUGAUGUAACUAUCACUACUUAAUCAUAUCCUGAUGUAACUUUCACUAUUAUCUGCUGUAUUAUUGAAUUGUGGUUUGUCACACUUGAGAAUUAUUGUAUUUCUUGUUCUUAUUGUAUGACUUAUAUUGUAACACUUGAAUGUAUUUGUAUUUGCUUGCGAUUGUAAGUCGCCCUGGAUAAGGGCGUCUGCUAAGAAAUAAAUAAU